rnacentral:pre_miRNA from 1 species
GGUCCAAAUUAGAAGUAGAGUAGAUUAGUACGACCAGAUCACCUUACUAAACUAGCCUACUUCAAGUUUGUGCCC